UGAGACCGUCAUAACUACAAGUUCACCGACAUCCCAUUGAAACGUGUGUUAAACUUAAUACACACAUUUCAAUGGGAUGUCGUUGGACUUGUACUUAUGACGGUUUCAUGAAACGCUGCCCAGAUCCCCGACACCGAACACCUGGGGAGGUUUCACGAAACCGUCAUUAAGUCUAACUUUUUAGACAUCGUAUUGAAACGUGUGAUAGAGAUCUAACACGUGUUUCUACCAAAUCUCCACGAGCUUAGACUUAUGGCAGUUUCGAGAAACUAGCACUCGCUCUGAAUCUGGCGCAUCCACGGCCACGCUGGAAGCUCGGAUCUGACCGCCUGCGAUGCAUGCCCCGGACGCGACGGCAGCCCGCUCUCGAGCUAACUCUCCAUCGCAUCGUGCAGCUGUCUUUCUUCUCUUUCACGAACACGGUUGCCCGACUGAAACAACUAGACCACAUUAGUAUCCUGACAUCAAGAUAGGUCUCUAUUAUGUGCCCAUCCGUCUGAUUAAGUCUUCUUUGGAGCAAACUGUCAGACAUUUGCGGUAGUAUACAGCUGAAAUGGAAUUUCCGUUCAACCAAACAGUAUACUUCAAGGCUAUUUCUCAGCGACGAGGGUUAGCUCCAGGUAGCAGUAGCAGGCUGGAAGUAACACACAUGUGCAGUGUUUCAGUCGAAAACGAAUACCACCCAUUCAAAAUCGGUUAUAGGAUCUUGUCCAUAUGUCCAUAUUUUUGUAUGCAUGUGAAACAUGGACCAUGACAGCAGACAUUAAAAGAAGGAUACAGGCACUGGAGAUGAAAUGUUUCCGCAAACUCCUCAGUAUCUGGUAUAGAGAUCACAUAACCAACGAGGUAGUGAAAAUCAGAAUUGGAAACACCAUAGGGCCGUAUGAAGACCUCCUGACUUCAGUGAAAAGAUGCAAAGUAAAGUGGUAUGGGUAUGUCACAUGAUCAUUUGGACUGGCCAAGACUAUUCUACAUGGAACAGUACAAGGAGGGAGACGAAAAGGCAGGCAGAGGAAACGAUGGGAAGACAACAUUAACGAGUGACCUUGACUGAAACAUCAUACUUCGUAAAGCCAAGAACCACGAGGAGUGGAGGAAGCUGGUAGUAUAAAUCUUCAGUGGUGCCCCAAGGGUCAGCCAGACUGUGGGAUAGGUGAAGGUGAAGGUGAAGGAAGCUAAGAAUCAGAUAGUUAGACAUUAUAUUGGAUCAUUUAUCCUUUCCUUCAAAAGGAAUGUUGCUUUAUACUGUAGCACAUAAACAAUGCUUUUUAAUUGGCAAUAUUUCAGUUCAGUACGCUUGUUAUUAAUUUCAUCAAACAUUAAAAUGUAAAAGGGAGAAACACUGUCAUUUGAAAAUCAAAAUGUAAGUCAUAAAAAUUUCACUGUCUAACUAUCUGAAUCUUGUCAGGAUCCAUGUACGAGUUAGUGCAAUUCUUUUCUCUUCACUACAACCGCAUUGAUUUACUUUAAUAGCAUGUUACUAGGUACAUCAAUUGAUGAGAAAAAGCAGCAAAACGCUUUAAAUUUGUUGUAGUCUUAAAAUUAAAGUUGGAAGUUUCCUAAAAAGGGAAUUUUAGAACACUCCUUCAACUGACAUGCACGGAUGUUAUACUUAUGAAUUUCCAUACAUUAAUGUCUUUGUAAUGCAUGUUACCAAACAAAAAAAAGUAUCAUCAACCAUUCUUGUCAUUUCCUGUGCAAUUAUUUUCACAUCCUGGCUUAACAGUACAUAAACAGUGCUCUUUUAUUUUCAAUAUUUCAGAAAAAUGCAUUUGCAUUAUGAUACAUGCAGGUAUAGUUGGUCAAGUAAGAAUAUAUUUACAGCAUGCUCACUAUGAAUUGAUUAAAUCGCCAUUGAAUCUAAAAGGUAUGUUAUACCUCAUUGUAUAUUCAGAAGGAAAAAGUGUGAGGAUAGCUUUAAAAAAAAAAAAAAUCAUGAGUAUCCAUAAUGAUGUGAAUAUGUACAUGUUUGUUUGUUGCAUAUGAUUCUUCCUUGGUAUCAAAGCUGUAAUAAUUGCAUAUUUAUGAUUCAGCAUAAUACUUUGUUCAUUACAAAAAAAAAUAUGUCAUAAUUUUCCAAAACGGUAGUGUAAAGAAUAAUGUAAGAUUGAGGUAAGAUUGUUACAUAUAUUCUCUAUACGUAUCAACUAAAAUGUAAGUUUUCAAAUGAGAUACUAUUUUGUCCCCAGAUGAAAUAAGUAAUGGAUCUUUUUUGUUAAAUGUCAGCAAAUGAUCUAAAUGAACAUGUGUUCGGGUAUAUCAAAUCUUGUACAUGUAGUUUCUAUAGCUAAUAUAGUUUGGAGGACUUAAAGAUAGAAAAACUGCUGAUUGAUUAAUUACCAUUGUUUGUAUUGUUCACUAUAACCAGCAAGUAAAGGGACAUUUAGUAGAUGCCAAGAAAGUAUUUCCAAAGCAAUUACAUUUCUCUUAUCCUGUAAUGUAUUUUUUGCGUCAAUAAAAGCAAAUGUGAGGGUUGUCCACAUAACAUCACAACUACAGAACAGUUUAAUUGAAAUUAACAUACAUAUUACAUGUAUAUAUGUGUAUUAUGGAAUAACUUAGAAUAUUUCAUAAUUUGUUAUUAUUAUCCAGUUCAUUACAUUUUUACCAAUGUAUUUCUUCAAUAUUUCUACUUUUCCUCAGAGCAUAUGCUGUGAACUAAUGGAUAUUCCUUGUCAGUUCCAUCAUGUUAUGUCAAUGGGCUUACACUGUAUGCGUGUACAUGUCCUUUUUGCAAUGUACAUGUGCUACGAAAAUGUCAACAAUAUUGUUUGAGAUAUAAAAUAUAGAGUUAACAAGUGAAUUAUUCA
rnacentral:lncRNA from 1 species